rnacentral:rRNA from 1 species
UACGGAGGGGGCUAGCGUUGUUCGGAAUUACUGGGCGUAAAGCGCGCGUAGGCGGCUUUGUAAGUUAGAGGUGAAAGCCCAGAGCUCAACUCCGGAAUUGCCUUUAAGACUGCAUCGCUAGAAUCAUGGAGAGGUGAGUGGAAUUCCGAGUGUAGAGGUGAAAUUCGUAGAUAUUCGGAAGAACACCGGUGGCGAAGGCGGCCAUCUGGACCGGUAUUGACGCUGAGGCGCGAAAGCGUGGGGAGCAAACAGG